CCUACGGGGGGCAGCAGUGGGGAAUAUUGGACAAUGGGGGCAACCCUGAUCCAGCCAUGCCGCGUGUGUGAAGAAGGCCCUCGGGUUGUAAAGCACUUUCAGUGAGGAAGAACGCCUGGUGGUUAAUACCCAUCAGGAAAGACAUCACUCACAGAAGAAGCACCGGCUAACUCCGUGCCAGCAGCCGCGGUAAUACGGAGGGUGUGAGCGUUAAUCGGAAUUACUGGGCGUAAAGCGCGCGUAGGUGGCUUGAUAAGCCGGUUGUGAAAGCCCCGGGCUCAACCUGGGAACGGCAUCCGGAACUGUCAAGCUAGAGUGCAGGAGAGGAAGGUAGAAUUCCCGGUGUAGCGGUGAAAUGCGUAGAGAUCGGGAGGAAUACCAGUGGCGAAGGCGGCCUUCUGGACUGACACUGACACUGAGGUGCGAAAGCGUGGGUAGCAAACAGGAUUAGAUACCCCGGUAGUC
rnacentral:rRNA from 1 species